rnacentral:rRNA from 1 species
AACGAACGCUGGCGGCAUGCCUAACACAUGCAAGUCGAACGCUCUAGCAAUAGAGAGUGGCAGACGGGUGAGUAACGCGUGGGAAACUUCCUAGGGGAGCGGAAUAGCUCAGGGAAACUUGGGGUAAUACCGUAUGAUGCCGUAAGGCCAAAGAUUUAUCGCCCUUAGAUGUGCCCGCGUCGGAUUAGCUAGUUGGUGAGGUAAUGGCUCACCAAGGCGACGAUCCGUAGCUGGUUUGAGAGAAUGACCAGCCACACUGGGACUGAGACACGGCCCAGACUCCUACGGGAGGCAGCAGUGGGGAAUCUUGGACAAUGGGCGCAAGCCUGAUCCAGCCAUGCCGCGUGAGUGACGAAGGCCUUAGGGUUGUAAAGCUCUUUUGCCGGGGACGAUAAUGACGGUACCCGGAGAAUAAGUCCCGGCUAACUUCGUGCCAGCAGCCGCCGCAG